AGAAAAAACAUCGAGGUCUAAAUCAAUCUGGGAGUAAGUUCAGCGACCCUCUUUCUAAACUGUUGGCCAAGCUCCCUCCCCUUUCUCGUUUCCCCGCGUUGAAGUUAUCCCCGUUGGGUCCUGAUCCUCGGGUGUCCCGCCAGAAUGAGAGGACGCCGGCGCGGCUAGGUCCUUCCCACUCCCGAGCGGCGUUCGCUAAGUGGCCGGAGGAGCGCGGCGUGGAGGGCGGAGGGAGGCUGGGGAGGCCGGGGAGGCCAGAGGGUGGUUUUAUUGUUUCCAUCGCCCUCCUCCUUCCUCCUCUCUCUCCUCGCCCCCGGCGUCACUGGAAAGCAGCCCGAGUCACCCAGAGGCGGGUUAUUUAUAGAGCGGGCUGUGCGCGCGUCACGGAGCCCGGCCCGGCUGACGGGGCCGCUGACGCGCUUGGCCGCGGGGCCGAGUCCGCGGGGCUGCGCGCCGGGAGCUGGCGACAAUGGGCUUCUGUGUGUGCAGCUGCCGCCGCCGCUGGGGGCCGGGGGAGGGGGGCGGGUGGCCGCUCCCGGACCCAUUACUCUCCUGCCCGCGACCCCCUGAAAGCUGACCAGCUUUUUCUGCCCCUGGCCGGACCCCGCCAACUGCUUUUUCUUUUUUUUUAAAUUAUUUUUUUAUUUAAAUAUCAGUAAGUUCCCUUUGGCCCUGCCUCCGCUUCUACUUACCCCAUUUCCCCCUCCCUCCCCUAACACAAGGAGUGAGGGGGAUUUAGCUGGUCGGGACAACCACUUCUUGCGUCCCGAGGAGCGGGACCCACACAAGGCGCGCCCAGCGGGUGAUGCAGUGACCGAGGGGCCGGGAGCGCCGGGCAGCUACAGGGAGCUGGGAAAGCGUGCUCUGGAGCCUCUCGCACGUGGCAGGCAGGCAGAGAACUUGCUGAGCCUUCUAGGAAAUUGCAAUCGAUUUGUAAUGCAGUUUCGCUAAUUGGGAGUUCAAAAUUAAACUUUAAUAAAGCAUUUGUGUCGUCUCGUCUAAUUGUGAAA